rnacentral:rRNA from 2 species
UGGAUCCAGACUUUGAUCCUGGCUCAGGAUGAACGCUGGCGGCAUGCCUAAUACAUGCAAGUCGAACGAGAGGAAGGAAAGCUUGCUUUUCUGAAUCUAGUGGCGAACGGGUGAGUAACACGUAGGUAACCUGCCCAUGUGCCCGGGAUAACUUCUGGAAACAGAUGCUAAAACCGGAUAGGUAGCAGACAAGCAUUUGACUGCUAUUAAAGUGGCUAAGGCCAUGAACAUGGAUGGACCUGCGGUGCAUUAGCUAGUUGGUGAGGUAACGGCCCACCAAGGCGACGAUGCAUAGCCGGCCUGAGAGGGCGGACGGCCACAUUGGGACUGAGACACGGCCCAAACUCCUACGGGAGGCAGCAGUAGGGAAUUUUCGUCAAUGGGGGGAACCCUGAACGAGCGAUGCCGCGUGAGUGAGGAAGGUCUUCGGAUCGUAAAGCUCUGUUGUAAGAGAAAAACGACAUUCAUAGGGAAUGAUGAGUGAGUGAUGGUAUCUUACCAGAAAGUCACGGCUAACUACGUGCCAGCAGCCGCGGUAAUACGUAGGUGGCGAGCGUUAUCCGGAAUGAUUGGGCGUAAAGGGUGCGUAGGUGGCAGAACAAGUCUGGAGUAAAAGGUAUGGGCUCAACCCGUACUGGCUCUGGAAACUGUUCAGCUAGAGAACAGAAGAGGACGGCGGAACUCCAUGUGUAGCGGUAAAAUGCGUAGAUAUAUGGAAGAACACCGGUGGCGAAGGCGGCCGUCUGGUCUGUUGCUGACACUGAAGCACGAAAGCGUGGGGAGCAAAUAGGAUUAGAUACCCUAGUAGUCCACGCCGUAAACGAUGAGAACUAGGUGUUGGGGGAAUAACUCAGUGCCGCAGUUAACGCAAUAAGUUCUCCGCCUGGGGAGUAUGCACGCAAGUGUGCAACUCAAAGGAAUUGACGGA